rnacentral:rRNA from 1 species
GAUGAACGCUGGCGGCGUGCCUAAUACAUGCAAGUCGAGCGAACAGAUAAGGAGCUUGCUCCUUUGACGUUAGCGGCGGACGGGUGAGUAACACGUGGGUAACCUACCUAUAAGACUGGGAUAACUUCGGGAAACCGGAGCUAAUACCGGAUAACAUUUGGAGCCGCAUGGUUCUAAAGUGCAAGAUGGUUUUGCUAUCACUUAUAGAUGGACCCGCGCCGUAUUAGCUAGUUGGUAAGGUAACGGCUUACCAAGGCGACGAUACGUAGCCGACCUGAGAGGGUGAUCGGCCACACUGGAACUGAGACACGGUCCAGACUCCUACGGGAGGCAGCAGUAGGGAAUCUUCCGCAAUGGGCGAAAGCCUGACGGAGCAACGCCGCGUGAGUGAUGAAGGGUUUCGGCUCGUAAAACUCUGUUAUUAGGGAAGAACAAAUGUGUAAGUAACUGUGCACGUCUUGACGGUACCUAAUCAGAAAGCCACGGCUAACUACGUG